rnacentral:rRNA from 1 species
CUUAAUGAGAGUUUGAUCCUAGCUCAGGGUGAAUGCUGGCGGCGUGGAUAAGUCAUGCAAGUCAAGGGGGCCCGAAAGGGCAACCGGCAGACGAGGUAGUAACACGUAGGUACGUCCCCCGAAGUCGGGCAUAGCCAUCCGAAAGGAUGGGUAAUUCCCGAUAGUCCCGCAAGGGUAAAGGUUUUUCGCUUCGGGAGCGGCCUGCGUAAUAUCAGCUAGUUGGUGAGGUAAUGGCUCACCAAGGCUACGAC